rnacentral:rRNA from 1 species
GGUUAAGCGACUAAGCGUACACGGUGGAUGCCCUGGCAGUCAGAGGCGAUGAAGGACGUGCUAAUCUGCGAUAAGCGUCGGUAAGGUGAUAUGAACCGUUAUAACCGGCGAUUUCCGAAUGGGGAAACCCAGUGUGUUUCGACACACUAUCAUUAACUGAAUCCAUAGGUUAAUGAGGCGAACCGGGGGAACUGAAACAUCUAAGUACCCCGAGGAAAAGAAAUCAACCGAGAUUCCCCCAGUAGCGGCGAGCGAACGGGGAGCAGCCCAGAGCCUGAAUCAGUGUGUGUGUUAGUGGAAGCGUCUGGAAAGGCGCGCGAUACAGGGUGACAGCCCCGUACACAAAAAUGCACAUGCUGUGAGCUCGAUGAGUAGGGCGGGACACGUGGUAUCCUGUCUGAAUAUGGGGGGACCAUCCUCCAAGGCUAAAUACUCCUGACUGACCGAUAGUGAACCAGUACCGUGAGGGAAAGGCGAAAAGAACCCCGGCGAGGGGAGUGAAAAAGAACCUGAAACCGUGUACGUACAAGCAGUGGGAGCACGCUUAGGCGUGUGACUGCGUACCUUUUGUAUAAUGGGUCAGCGACUUAUAUUCUGUAGCAAGGUUAACCGAAUAGGGGAGCCGAAGGGAAACCGAGUCUUAACUGGGCGUUAAGUUGCAGGGUAUAGACCCGAAACCCGGUGAUCUAGCCAUGGGCAGGUUGAAGGUUGGGUAACACUAACUGGAGGACCGAACCGACUAAUGUUGAAAAAUUAGCGGAUGACUUGUGGCUGGGGGUGAAAGGCCAAUCAAACCGGGAGAUAGCUGGUUCUCCCCGAAAGCUAUUUAGGUAGCGCCUCAUGAAUUCAUCUCCGGGGGUAGAGCACUGUUUCGGCAAGGGGGUCAUCCCGACUUACCAACCCGAUGCAAACUGCGAAUACCGGAGAAUGUUAUCACGGGAGACACACGGCGGGUGCUAACGUCCGUCGUGAAGAGGGAAACAACCCAGACCGCCAGCUAAGGUCCCAAAGUCAUGGUUAAGUGGGAAACGAUGUGGGAAGGCCCAGACAGCCAGGAUGUUGGCUUAGAAGCAGCCAUCAUUUAAAGAAAGCGUAAUAGCUCACUGGUCGAGUCGGCCUGCGCGGAAGAUGUAACGGGGCUAAACCAUGCACCGAAGCUGCGGCAGCGACGCUUAUGCGUUGUUGGGUAGGGGAGCGUUCUGUAAGCCUGCGAAGGUGUGCUGUGAGGCAUGCUGGAGGUAUCAGAAGUGCGAAUGCUGACAUAAGUAACGAUAAAGCGGGUGAAAAGCCCGCUCGCCGGAAGACCAAGGGUUCCUGUCCAACGUUAAUCGGGGCAGGGUGAGUCGACCCCUAAGGCGAGGCCGAAAGGCGUAGUCGAUGGGAAACAGGUUAAUAUUCCUGUACUUGGUGUUACUGCGAAGGGGGGACGGAGAAGGCUAUGUUGGCCGGGCGACGGUUGUCCCGGUUUAAGCGUGUAGGCUGGUUUUCCAGGCAAAUCCGGAAAAUCAAGGCUGAGGCGUGAUGACGAGGCACUACGGUGCUGAAGCAACAAAUGCCCUGCUUCCAGGAAAAGCCUCUAAGCAUCAGGUAACAUCAAAUCGUACCCCAAACCGACACAGGUGGUCAGGUAGAGAAUACCAAGGCGCUUGAGAGAACUCGGGUGAAGGAACUAGGCAAAAUGGUGCCGUAACUUCGGGAGAAGGCACGCUGAUAUGUAGGUGAAGCGACUUGCUCGUGGAGCUGAAAUCAGUCGAAGAUACCAGCUGGCUGCAACUGUUUAUUAAAAACACAGCACUGUGCAAACACGAAAGUGGACGUAUACGGUGUGACGCCUGCCCGGUGCCGGAAGGUUAAUUGAUGGGGUUAGCGCAAGCGAAGCUCUUGAUCGAAGCCCCGGUAAACGGCGGCCGUAACUAUAACGGUCCUAAGGUAGCGAAAUUCCUUGUCGGGUAAGUUCCGACCUGCACGAAUGGCGUAAUGAUGGCCAGGCUGUCUCCACCCGAGACUCAGUGAAAUUGAACUCGCUGUGAAGAUGCAGUGUACCCGCGGCAAGACGGAAAGACCCCGUGAACCUUUACUAUAGCUUGACACUGAACAUUGAGCCUUGAUGUGUAGGAUAGGUGGGAGGCUUUGAAGUGUGGACGCCAGUCUGCAUGGAGCCGACCUUGAAAUACCACCCUUUAAUGUUUGAUGUUCUAACGUUGACCCGUAAUCCGGGUUGCGGACAGUGUCUGGUGGGUAGUUUGACUGGGGCGGUCUCCUCCUAAAGAGUAACGGAGGAGCACGAAGGUUGGCUAAUCCUGGUCGGACAUCAGGAGGUUAGUGCAAUGGCAUAAGCCAGCUUGACUGCGAGCGUGACGGCGCGAGCAGGUGCGAAAGCAGGUCAUAGUGAUCCGGUGGUUCUGAAUGGAAGGGCCAUCGCUCAACGGAUAAAAGGUACUCCGGGGAUAACAGGCUGAUACCGCCCAAGAGUUCAUAUCGACGGCGGUGUUUGGCACCUCGAUGUCGGCUCAUCACAUCCUGGGGCUGAAGUAGGUCCCAAGGGUAUGGCUGUUCGCCAUUUAAAGUGGUACGCGAGCUGGGUUUAGAACGUCGUGAGACAGUUCGGUCCCUAUCUGCCGUGGGCGCUGGAGAACUGAGGGGGCUGCUCCUAGUACGAGAGGACCGGAGUGGACGCAUCACUGGUGUUCGGGUUGUCAUGCCAAUGGCACUGCCCGGUAGCUAAAUGCGGAAGAGAUAAGUGCUGAAAGCAUCUAAGCACGAAACUUGCCCCGAGAUGAGUUCUCCCUGACCCUUUAAGGGUCCUGAAGGAACGUUGAAGACGACGACGUUGAUAGGCCGGGUGUGUAAGCGCAGCGAUGCGUUGAGCUAACCGGUACUAAUGAACCGUGAGGCUUAACCUU